GCGCUUGCUUCAGCAGCACAUAUGCUAAAAUUGGAACAAUACAGAGAAAACGAGAAUGGCCCCAGCUCAAGGAUGACACGAAAAUUCAUGAAGUGUCCCAUAUUUAA